rnacentral:rRNA from 1 species
CUCCGUGCCAGCAGCCGCGGUAAUACGGAGGAUGCGAGCGUUAUCCGGAUUUAUUGGGUUUAAAGGGAGCGCAGACGGGAGAUUAAGUCAGUUGUGAAAGUUUGCGGCUCAACCGUAAAAUUGCAGUUGAUACUGGUUUCCUUGAGUGCAGUUGAGGCAGGCGGAAUUCGUGGUGUAGCGGUGAAAUGCUUAGAUAUCACGAAGAACCCCGAUUGCGAAGGCAGCUUGCUAAACUGUAACUGACGUUCAUGCUCGAAAGUGUGGGUAUCAAACAGGAUUAGAUACCCUGGUAGUCCACACGGUAAACGAUGGAUACUCGCUGUUGGCGAUAUACUGUCAGCGGCCAAGCGAAAGCAUUAAGUAUCCCACCUGGGGAGUACGCCGGCAACGGUGCAACUCAAAUGAAUUGACGG